AGCGAACGCUGGCGGCAGGCCUAACACAUGCAAGUCGAACGAACCUUUCGGGGUUAGUGGCGGACGGGUGAGUAACACGUGGGAACGUGCCUUUAGGUUCGGAAUAACUCAGGGAAACUUGUGCUAAUACCGAAUGUGCCCUUCGGGGGAAAGAUUAAUCGCCUUUAGAGCGGCCCGCGUCUGAUUAGCUAGUUGGUUGAAGUAAUGGCUCACCAAGGCGACGAUCAGUAGCUGGUCUGAGAGGAUGAUCAGCCACAUUGGGACUGAGACACGGCCCAAACUCCUACGGGAGGCAGCAGUGGGGAAUCUUGCGCAAUGGGCGAAAGCCUGACGCAGCCAUGCCGCGUGAAUGAUGAAGGUCUUAGGAUUGUAAAAUUCUUUCACCGGGGACGAUAAUGACGGUACCCGGAGAAGAAGCCCCGGCUAACUUCGUG
rnacentral:rRNA from 1 species